GAUGAAGAACGCAGCGAAAUGCGAUAAGUAAUGUGAAUUGCAGAAUUCAGUGAAUCAUCGAAUCUUUGAACGCACCUUGCGCCCUUUGGCCAUUCCGAAGGGCAUGCCUGUUUGAGUAUCAUGAACACCUCAACUCUUCAUGGUUUUCCAUGAUGAGCUUGGACUUUGGGGGUCUUGCUGGCCUGUGGGUCGGCUCCUCUCAAAUGAAUCAGCUUGCCGGUUUUUGGUGGGCAUCACAGGUGUGAUAACUAUCUACGCUUGUGGUUUUCCACCAGGGUAACCUUCAGCAGUGGAGGUUCACUGGAGCUCAUAGACGUCUCUCCUCAGUGAGGACAGCCCUUUGAACGUUUGAUCUCAAAUCAGGUAGGACUACCCGCUGAACUUAAGCAUAUCAAUAAGCGGAGGA
rnacentral:misc_RNA from 1 species